UACGUAGGGCGCAAGCGUUGUCCGGAAUUAUUGGGCGUAAAGAGCUCGUAGGCGGUCUGUUACGUCCGCUGUGAAAACCCAGGGCUUAACCCUGGGCUUGCAGUGGAUACGGGUAGACUAGAGGCAGGUAGGGGAGAAUGGAAUUCCCGGUGUAGCGGUGAAAUGCGUAGAGAUGUGGAGGAAUACCGAUGGCGAAGGCAGCCCCCUGGGAUAACACUGACGCUCAUGCACGAAAGCGUGGGGAGCAAACAGG
rnacentral:rRNA from 1 species